rnacentral:tRNA from 1 species
UGUGGUAUAGUUCAGUGGUAAAGUGUAUGCUUAGCAUGGUGUAUAAGGCCUGGGUUCAAUUUACAACACCAAAG